rnacentral:lncRNA from 12 species
AAGAAUUCUCCUUAAGCAGUGAUGUGUAUAUCUGUUGUUAACGAAAUGGACAACCAAGUCCAAUCUUCAUGAUGGCAGCAUGUCAUACAGAGUAGAAUGAAACUAAAGGAAGGUACAACCAAAUCCAUUCACCCAUCACAGCACAGUUUGGAGAUGUCUCACCUGGAAUUCACAUGAUAGAUCUUCUGAUGCAAUAUCCUACUGUAGGCUUGGCUGAAAUGUCAUCUUGGGAACUAAAACAGUAAACCAUGUGAAUUUAACUGCAGUUGGAUCAAAACAUUCCAUCACAGGCUUCUAACCCCACCUCUGAUUCCAAGCACGGCCACAAUCUCUGGGUGGAGUUCACCUACACUACUAGGCACAACCUUUCUACAUAUAAUUUCUGAAAGAGGUAUUUACUGUAUAAUUUUAUUUGA